UACGUAGGGUGCGAGCGUUGUCCGGAUUUAUUGGGCGUAAAGAGCUCGUAGGCGGUUUGUCGCGUCGGCCGUGAAAUCUCCACGCUUAACGUGGAGCGUGCGGUCGAUACGGGCAGACUUGAGUUCGGUAGGGGAGACUGGAAUUCCGUGGUGUAGCGGUGACAUGCGCAGAUAUCAGGAAGAACACCCGUGGCGAAGGCGGCUCUCUGGGACGGUACUGACGGCUGAGACGCGAAAGCGUGGGGAGUGAACAGGG
rnacentral:rRNA from 1 species